ensembl:lncRNA SNHG12 small nucleolar RNA host gene 12
UUUCUCCCCGCCGCAUUCCCGGUGUCGACUUACUAGCUGCAAGCCUCUGCCUGCCUUCCUGCGCGCCGUUCCCCGCUAGUCGCUGCUGCUGGCGCGCACUCGCCGGGUUUUUCCUCCCACGGCCUCGAGAUGGUGGUGAAUGUGGCACGGAGGAGCCGGGCCUUCCAACCCGGUGGGCCCGAGCUCCGAAAGGCCCCCUCGGCAGUGAGAGGGGCGGGAGCCCGCGGGGGCCGCGCCCUUCUCUCGCUUCGGACUGCGCAACGCUGCGCUCUGGGCUGACAGGUGAGUGUUGCAGGCAGGCGGCCGGGUUUACGGAAGGGGUGGGGGUUUGGGAACCGGUCUCCUGGGGGAUGCGGGGAUGAAUCCCUGGGCCUGAAGUGUCUUAAUUCAGGGGGAGGCCGCAUGCUGGUGUCAGGAUGGCCUCCAGUUGAAUCUGUGACAUUUACCAGCUAGGUGAUUUUGGGACUGGUGACUACGCGCGAGACCUCUGGAGGUCGCCCUGGUAGACACGGUUUUCAGAAGGACGGGUUUUAGGCAUUCAGACCCUUGCGUGCAUCCCAGCUUGUUGCUUUCAGCCUCGCUAAGUGACUAAGCGACCUUCAGGAAGUAACUUAAUCGGUCUAAACCUCUUACCUGUAAUAGGCGGAUAAAACGGUCCCAUCAAGACUGAGAAAAAGCACACCAGCUAUUGGCACAGCGUGGGCAGUGGGGCCUACAGGAUGACUGACUUAGUCUACAGAGAUCCCGGCGUACUUAAGCAGGUAGUAAUGAUGGACAGGUGAGGCUUUAGGCGGCCGCCCUGGGAUCUGAAUUGCCCCUUGGCCCUUAUCGAAGCUGCAGCUGCUUCCGCAUAGCUGCUGUGGUCAAAAAGGAGCCCAGAGUGACAGUUUUCCUUGACGGUCGCCGUUCUGUUUGUUGUAACUGAUCUGCAACAUUUUGGGAAAAUACAGUUCCAUUGUACCUGCCACCUUUCAGCUGUAGCCAGAGACCUUUAUCAAAAUGGGCUUGUUUCCACAGAACAGCAGAACGGUUGGGGGUUUGCAUGUACAGUUAACCAGCAUAAGACUCGUACUGGGAAAAUCCAGCUGGGAUGUGACACAGCUUAACUGAUAGCUUAAGGCAUCAGUAUUGGGACCAAAGGCUGGUCAGAUUUGUAUCAUUCUGAGGACCAAAUGAUGGGAACAAUAAAAUUGUUCAUGACAGUUGUUCUCAUUUUGCUGUCCAGAUGAAGACUCUUAAGAUGACAGAAGGUGAUUUUUCUGGUGAUCGAGGACUUCCGGGGUAAUGACAGUGAUGAAAUGCAGGGGACCUGGUUGCCCCCAAGUUUCCUGGCAGUGUGUGAUACUGAGGAGGUGAGCUUGUUUCUGGAGCUGUGCUUUAAGGUAAAGUUGAUCAGCUUAAUCCUCCUGAUCCCUUUCCCAUCGGAUCUGAACACUGGUCUUGGUGGUCGUAAAAGGAGGAAAAGUAAUAGUGAAGCUGGCCUAAAUGUUGUAAUCUGGUAUAUGGCAUGUGGGCUAGUUUCAGACAGGUUUCAGAGAUGGUUGGAUCUCUGAAAUUGUAAAAUGAAGUAUAAUCUUAGGCUAAGGGAAGGAUGCGUGUGAAGCUCUGGAGGUUGGUAUAGUAAUAGCUGACCUAUUACUGCAUUUGGGAGGGAUCUGUCAUAGCUUCCUUGCCUCUUAAUUAAGGGUGGUGUUUUUUUCUUUUAGAUUCAUGUUACAUGUAAAGCUGUCCUCAUUUGUGACUAUGGACCUAUGGAGUUGGGACAAUCUCUAUGGGAAGCAGAAGGCAAGGACCCCGGUCAUUUUAGGUAGAAACAACAGCAUGCUAAUGCAAAAAAUUAUGCAGUGUGCUACUGAACUUCAGAGGUGAUCAAUAAAAGAAGAAUAAAAAGACUAAUAAAAGU